UCAUCGAUUUAUGAAAAAUUCUUCCGCUACGGUAGAGUUGUGUUACGUUUGAAAUAUGUUUGGUUGAUUUAGUGUACAUUUGAAACAAAAUUAGCAUUAAGCCAAUUAUUGUAACCAUGCCAAUGGAAGAAAAAGUAUCGCUCCGCACGCCACAUCUUGAAAACCCCUGCAAAAGUGUUUAAUCAGAAAAGCCGACCGCCCUGAUAGAGAUCAUCAGCCAACACUGUUAGCUGCCAUCAGUAACACGCAUUCUCCACUACUUUGCUGGUAUUGCACGAAAUAAACUCACACCGGGAGAUACGGAAGCAAUCAAGAGCAUCAGCAAAAUACCAUAGUCUCAAUGACGGUGACGCUGGUAGCAGAAAGCCGCCGCGAGAGCAAAGGGCAAAGAUCAGAGAAAAAUCUCAGCGCGACGCACGCACAUCUCCAUCGGUAUGUGGCAAGGCAAACGAGAAUAGAAAACCGACGCUACUCUUUCUCUCCUUUCUCUUCUUCACCAACACCAUCGCAAGCUGCAAAAUGAUGGGUAUGUGGACGAGUACAGUCGAUGAUGAAAAUCAGAGUACCGUAGUACAGUGAGCAGUCCACGUCGCACGGAAAAUCUGCGUCGAAGAAACAACGAAUUAGUUCCGACAAACCUAGUGAAAGUGCGCAGUGGAUUUGUGGCAAAAAAGUAAAACUUUCAACCCGCACGUCACCCAAGGAUUUUGCCGGGGCGUGUAAUCCGUAACUGUAAAGUGCUGUUAAGCUAGGAGGGUGAAAAUUAGCCGCGCUCAAAAAGGCAACCAUAUUGGAUCAAGAACCAUUAGUGAUAAAAGGCGAAUAGAGUGCGGUGGUGACGCUAUCCAUCCGCCAUCUUUGAAGAUCGGACGAGCAACCUUCCACGCGGACGGAAUCCACGAGUAAAUUCCAUCCCAUCCCGUGACCUCUGAAAAAACAGUUACGACGUCCAGGACGAUUCCAUCGGAUGCAACCCAGGCAGGGUCCGGUAAGAAAACCAUUGAUCACGAUAAGUACUCACGCUGAAAAAAAUACCUGGUAUUUCACAGCAACCAUUACCGGAUUUCUCUCGCCAAAGUUCAUGCCAUUCGCGGAAAGCAUACACGUCGCUAGAGCGAUACGAACGACGGGUAAGACAAAAUUAAGUUGUCCUCGGCACAAUCCCUAAACGUAAAUCAUUUGCUCCACAGUCGUUUGAUUCAGCCAGCCUAGAAGUCGAUCACUUCGCAGAGAACCUCCACGUCCAUCCUUCGGUUCAAAAACAAAGCCUUCCCUCGGAAGGCUUUGUUUCUCUAUUUACAGCUAAUCCACACACGGAUAGUGGCAUCGGACUUGUUCGAACCAGGUGCGACCGCGAGGUGGCUGCGAACUAUCGGUCGGGAGUUGAGUCAAGCCCGGAGAGGGCCGAACCACUGGUCCACCGAAAGACGCCUUCGACAGCCGCAGUAUACGACACUGAGUUGCAACCGCAAGUCUUGGUCAGACGUCGUGAAGGCAUAGUACACCAGCGAGCGAGCCACGGCUGCACUGCAGGGUAGUGUGGAAUCAUGUGCGGAAGGGUGACAUCCAUGAUGAUGGCGGCGGCCAGAACAGCGAUUACGGUAGGGGCGCCCCAAUAGUGAGUACAAGAUGGAAAAUUAGCACAUAAGUAGAAAUUCAAAAGAGAAAAGGAAGGCAGGCAAGCUAGAGUAGGAUGAGGCU